rnacentral:misc_RNA from 1 species
UACGGAGGGUGCAAGCGUUAAUCGGAUUUAUUGGGCGUAAAGAGCACGUAGGCGGCGCAGUAAGUCAGAUGUGAAAUUUCGGGGCUUAACCCCGGAGCUGCCUUUGAAACUACUGUGCUAGAGGUUAGGCGGAGAAAGAGGAAUUCCAAGUGUAGCGGUGAAAUGCGUAGAUAUUUGGAAGAACACCUGUGGCGAAAGCGUCUUUCUAGCUUAUACCUGACGCUGAGGUGCGAGAGCAAGGGGAGCAAACAGG